UACGGAGGGUGCAAACGUUGCUCGGAAUCAUUGGGCGUAAAGCGAACGUAGGCGGCUAUGUAAGUCGGGUGUGAAAGCCCAGAGCUCAACUCUGGAAGUGCAUUCGAAACUGCAUGGCUUGAGUAGCGGAGAGGAUAGCGGAAUUCCCGGUGUAGAGGUGAAAUUCGUAGAUAUCGGGAGGAACACCAGUGGCGAAGGCGGCUAUCUGGACGCAUACUGACGCUGAAGUUCGAAAGCGUGGGGAGCGAACAGG
rnacentral:rRNA from 1 species